GACGAACGCUGGCGGCGUGCUUAACACAUGCAAGUCGAACGAAGAGCGAUGGAAGCUUGCUUCUAUCAAUCUUAGUGGCGAACGGGUGAGUAACGCGUAAUCAACCUGCCCUUCAGAGGGGGACAACAGUUGGAAACGACUGCUAAUACCGCAUACGAUCUAACCUCGGCAUCGAGGAUAGAUGAAAGGUGGCCUCUACAUGUAAGCUAUCACUGAAGGAGGGGAUUGCGUCUGAUUAGCUAGUUGGAGGGGUAACGGCCCACCAAGGCGAUGAUCAGUAGCCGGUCUGAGAGGAUGAACGGCCACAUUGGGACUGAGACACGGCCCAGACUCCUACGGGAGGCAGCAGUGGGGAAUCUUCCGCAAUGGACGAAAGUCUGACGGAGCAACGCCGCGUGAGUGAUGACGGCCUUCGGGUUGUAAAGCUCUGUUAAUCGGGACGAAAGGCCUUCUUG
rnacentral:rRNA from 1 species